rnacentral:lncRNA from 1 species
AGAAAUCUUUCAUGUAUGGUCUGUGUGAAACCUAAAACCUAAAAAUUUUUGUUAAGUCAAAAAUCUAUCUCACGGCCGCUGAAGCUUUCUUCCUUCUCUCUCCUUCCCUCUCUCUCACUCUCUUUCUCUCUCUAACAACGAUCUACCUUGAAAGCCGCCUCUGUCAACACCUUGAAACCCGUCGUCCUUAAGCUAAAAUAUCCCUGAAAAGAACCCAGAAAGUGCUGUGAAGAAUUUGGGCAAAGCUAAGGUUUGAAAGUCCGAAUCAGUGUUGUGGUAACUCUUUGUCUCAUUCUCUAUUCUCAUUGUUUAAGUAUUUAUCUGUUAAUUGAUUGAUGUUUAUUGAGUGCAAAUGAGAGCUUGCACUUGUUUGGAAAUCUAGCCAUCUAGGGUUUUUGUUGCUUAUAAUCUAAUUUAUUGUUUAAUAAAAUAAAUAAAACACAGCUUUAUUAUAGGUGGAACUCAGUUUAUUAAGUGAAAGAAUGAUUACAAUCGGUGAUUAUGGAUUUAGGUUGAAUGCAAUUUGUUAAUUAAAAGAAUAAUGGCAAUCGACAAUCAUGGGUUUAGUAUGUAUUAUAUAUUUCGUUUAAUGGUGUGUAUGAAAACCCAAACCUAAAAUUUUCUUAAGUAAAAAUCUCCAUUCUCCCUCACGAAAUUACGCUGAAAAUUUGAGGAUUGAUAGACUGUUGUUGUGAACUUGGUUGUUUCCGAACUUGACUAAAUGACUUUCAAUUGAUUUGAAAGUUUGAUUAAACUAAGUUCAAAUGAGAACAUUUUAAUUCUGGAAAUUUUGGAAUGAAUUGGGUUUAUAUUUGAUUUUGAAUGGAUUUCUCAAUAUGGUUGGUUGUUGUCCAAUUUUAUUAGAAAUUACAUAUGUACCAUGUUUGAUAUUGCAAACGCAUAGUCUAAUAGAGUUAGAAUAUGCUGAAAUUUGGAUAAACUACACUUCUAUUUGCAUACUUCGAAUCUGGAAAAUUUUAUUUUCAUAGAACUUGUAAUUUAUUUUUAAUGAUUUUUCAAACUCUGCUGUCUCUGCAGUAACUUUUUUUGACAGAACUGUUCAUUAAUCUUUGAUCCUAUCAAACACCAGCCUAAUGAUAUCGGAAUAGCCUCAAAUUUUAAUAUGUUGUUGAAUUAUAUGUCCACUUAAAAUCUGGAAAGUAUCAUUCUGAUAUAUUUAGUAUUUUAAAUUUAAUAUAUAUUCAAACACUUGCUGUUACUUUUACAGUUUCAUAUGCAAUUUUGACAGAACUGUUCAUUAAUCUUUGAUCCUAUCAAACACCAGCCUAAUGAUAUCAGAAUAGCCUCAAAUUUUAAUAUGUUGUUGACUUGUAUGUCCACUUAAAAUCUGGAAAGUAUCAUUCUGAUAUAUUUAGUAUUUUAAAUUUAAUAUAUAUUCAAACAUAUGCUGCUACUUUUAUAGUUUCAUAUGUAAUUUUGACAAAACUGUUCAUUAAUGUUUGAUCCUAUCAAACACCAGCCUAAUGAUAUCGGAAUAGCCUCAAAUUUUAAUAUGUUGUUGAAUUAUAUGUCCACUUAAAAUCUGGAAAGUAUCGUUCUGAUAUAUUUAGUAUUUUAAAUUUAAUAUAUAUUCAAACACCUGCUGCUACUUUUACAGUUUCAUAUGCAAUUUUAACUUAUAUAGUUUUAUCAUGUGAGAAGCAAAUGUAGAGUUGUCCAAAUGACUUGAAAAUUUGAUUUGUGGUGCAUUGACAUGUCUAAUUAUGUUUUGUUCAUAGCAUUCCAAAUUAAAUUAAAGAAAAUCUUAAAUUCAAGCUGUCAACGUUUCCUAUUAAAUAUGAUUAGUGAUAAAUCUACUAACUUGCAGUACUUUUUCAGGGAAAAAAAUGUGUCAACACUGUGAAUUGCAACGGGAGAAGAAAGUACCAAAGGCAUAAAUCUUUUUUCAUUAUAUUUGGGACUAUUCUUAAAGGUUAGACUUUUCCUUUUUCCUUUUUUUCUAUUUUAUUUAAGGUAAUCAUAUUCUUUUUAAUUUUAAUUACAAUCAAUUUGGCGCUGUUAUACAACUCGCACCAACCAAUCCAACAGCAAAUGAAGAUAACAUUUUUGAAAUGCAUUCAAUUUUUGACAAUAGCAAAAAGAAAAAGGGAAAAUGAUACUAGUUUAGGCUUUAGGAAAUUUGCAUCAUGAUUCUUGCAUUGCAGUUGCCUCUAUCUCGGUGCUCUCGGAGAAGUAAUCUUGCUUGAUUUUGCGUGAUAAUUGAUACAAGCCCGUCCUAGCCAUUGCAAAAUUGACACUAAAAAGGUUCUAAUUUUUUAUAUUGUAGUUUGAAAAGUCUGCAAUGUUUGCUAUGUUGAUGCCCCAUUUGAAUGUUGGAGCCCAAAAAUGAAUGGUUUUAAGACCAGCCGGGUGGAUCCAGAAAGCUAGGAGCUUGUUAGCUAUUCUUUUUAAUUGAACUAAUUUAACUUAAAUAUUAGCCCGAUUAUUGAUUUCUAUGGUUUGCGAUUGAUUUGAGUUUGACAUUCUUGUUUUGUGGUGGUUUGAGUUUGACAUCCUAGUUUAAGACUUUGAAGGCUUCCAAGAAAUGAUUUUGGAUGAUGAGCAUAUGAGUAAUAGUUUGAAAAUUAAUUUACUGUAUCAAAUAUAUACUUAGUGUAGUAUAUUAAUUUUAAGAACUAUGGAUUAUUCCAUGAAUAUUCUAGUAAAUAGUUAUGUUAUAUAUGCAUGUCUUAAUAUAUAAUAAUUAUAUUUUGAAGUUUGUUUUUUUUUUUUCACUUUCUAGGUUUAGGAAAAAUGUUUAAAGUGAUUUUGGGUUAUGAUGUCAACCAAGUUAAAGCAACAUUAUUUGUGAGUGGAAAUAUAUAAUGAUUAUAUUUUUAUUCUACUUUUUUUUUUUCUUAAAGUUUUAUAAUUAGGCAAAAUUAAUGAAUACUUUAUUACAAUUUAGGGUAAUAUUCUUUAAAUGGUUCACAUGAAUAGAUUUAAGUAGUAUAAUAAAUCUCAUACUCACUUUAUAAAGGCUUAACUAAGUUUGCAAAUAUUAUUUCUUUUAGUAGUAAUAAUUUUGGAUCGAACUCUCAAAUUAUUGAAACAUUUUAUGUCCAAACUUUAUUAUGCCUAAUAUAAAUAUGGAGAUUCAUAGUUAUUUUAUGCUCAGUUUAAGAAAACUGCAGUUUAAGGACUUAUUUUUUGCCUUGUUAAAUAAGUUUUUAGAAUGAAUAAAUUGAGGAAAUGAGUGGUGAUUUAUUUAUAAUAAAGCAUUUGUGAUAACUUUUAACUAUGUACAAAAAUCAUUUGGUAUAUGUAGAUAAAGUAACAUGCUUGUGCUGAAAGUAGAUAUUACAUUGCAAACUUCUUGUCUGCUAUAGUUUGCUAUAUAUAUAACCUUUACCAAAAGAGAAUAAUUGAGUUUAUUUAUAAAUAGCUUAUGAGUAUUUUUUUCUUUCAAACAAAAUAAUUUUAUUUCUGUUAAUUGUUGUUUCUCUAAUGGCUGGAUAUUGGCAGCUAAUUUUUUUUUUCUUUUCCAUGUAUUCAUAUGCAGAUUUGAUUAAUGUGUUUGAAGUGUUUAUUCAUCAACUUCACUUAUAUCCUAACCCAUACAGUCUAUUGAAUGGAGAAACUGCUGGUGUGAUAACGCAAUUAUACUACUCAUAUUCAAAGAGUGAAAGGCAGCCAUCUUUCUCAAUUUAACUUCUAGAUUUAUUAAAUUUAGCCACAAGUAGUAGGCAUUUGAUUGGAUGCUAGAAAUUUUUGUGUAUUGAAUUUGGAUUAUUUAGUUAUGAGAGUAGGAUAUCUCAUAUUUUUGUUAUUGAAGUUUUGGAAUUUGUAAUAUAUACUAAUAAUAUUUAAAUGUGAAAUGAAAGAUUUUGUGAUAUAAAUCAAUUUCUUUUUGUUA